CUUUUGCUUCCUCGCGCAUCGCGACCGGUGGCGCCCCCCAGCAGACAAACGUUGUAAAGGAAAUGCGUCACGCAGAGUUCCGGUCCACUCCGCCUAUUUUGGCGGAGCAUCUUUUCCUGCUCCACCGAGUGACUCCCGCUCUGAAUCCACUCCGA
rnacentral:lncRNA from 1 species